rnacentral:rRNA from 1 species
AAUAGAUACCCGGGUAGUCCUAGCCGUAAACGAUGAGCACUGGGUUGAAGGGUCCUCCAUAGCCUUUCAGCCGCAGCGAAAGUGUUAAGUGCUCCGCCUGGGGAGUAUGGUCGCAAGGCUGAAACUCAAAGAAAUUGACGGGGGCUCACACAAGCGGUGGAGGAUGUGGCUUAAUUCGAGGCUACGCGAAGAACCUUAUCCUAGUCUUGACAUGCACGGAUUAACUCCCUAAAAGGGGAGCCAGGCCUUCGGGUACAACGUGCACAGGUGCUGCAUGGCUGUCGUCAGCUCGUGCUGUGAAGUGUCGGGUUAAGUCCCUUAACGAGCGAAACCCUUGUCGCUAGUUGCCAGCGAGUAAUGUCGGGGACUCUAGCGAGACCGCCGGCGUUAAGCCGGAGGAAGGCGGGGAUGACGUCAAGUCCUCAUGGCCUUUAUGACUAGGGCUGCACACGUCCUACAAUGGCGCGCACAAAGGGAUGCAAAAUCGCGAGAUCAAGCAAAUCCCAAAAAACGCGCCCCAGUUCGGAUUGCG